CACUUCGCUAUUGAACAGUCUCAGUAGUUCGAGGCGGUACGCGGUUUUCUUUGAUAAUGUAUACAAAUUCGGGUCGAUGUACGAAAACUAUGAAAGAAUGACGUAUAAUAUAAUUAUGCAAUGCGAAUUAUUUGGGAUUUCGCGGAAAUAUGUACACGUUGAUUGUGGGAGAAAAUACGAUGUGAGCGAUAUGCCUUGAGGCUAGUGUGUUGUGUUUGUUUUCGGUGUUUCGGUGGUAACGAUGGCGAACUCUCCGACCAGCAUAGAAACGCAGAUAGAUAGUUUCCUGGAGCAGUUUAAGAGGAGUGCUUCGAAGGCUAUGGAGGAACGGAUGGAUUGGCCCGAUGGCACGUCGCCGGGAGUCGUCAAGUCCCGCAGUAGCUGUUUCACAUUGGAUGUAGCGGCUGAAGCGGAGUGCGAUGGGUGCGGCGGCGACGGCGACGAGGGCCGGCAGGUGGGCGAGCUGCUGCUGCCGCAGUACGCGCUCGCGACCGGCGGCCUGGCGCGCGACCACCGCCCGCUCAUCACCUUCCCCGACAACAACAACUUCCACGUCAUCACCGCGCCAGAGUACCGCCGGCUACUGCUCUACCUCACUUCAGUGCCCUCAUUAUUAGAAGCUGAUAUGGGCUUCCAUAUAAUUAUAGACCGAAGAAAGGACAGAUGGAAUUCUGUUAAAACAGUAUUAUUAAGGAUCUCUGAAUUUUUCCCGGGCAUCAUACACGCCGUGUAUGUCCUUCGUCCAGCGAGUUUCCUACAGAAAGCGCUGUCUGAAGUGAGCAGCAAACUGUUCAAGGAAGAGUUCAGGUUCAAGGUGCUAGUGUGCUCGUCUGUUGAGGAGUUGUACGACCACUUCGACAGGUCGCAACUGACGCCUGACCUCGGUGGGGAAUUACAGUAUUCACACUCAGAAUGGAUACAACAGCGAAUAGCGUUAGAGAAAUUCUCGGUCCUGAUGAAGGAGAUCUCGAGCAAACUGGACGACUUCAUGCACGAGAUAGUGGACUGCGAUAUGGGCAACGACCCUACACAAACCAAAGAAUUAUUAGACUGUCAGGAAUCUAGUUAUAAAGCUUUAAAAAGUGAGUUGUCGUCGGCGACUACGCAAGGCGAGGAGUUGCUGGCGCAAGUGCGGAAACCAAAUCUUACUUAUAACAUUAUAAGCCACGUCGCUGCUGUGGAGAGGUUGUUGGUACAAUUAGAAGAGACUGAGAAACAAUUCGAUAACUUCUGGCAAAAACAUUCCACGAAACUAAAACACUGGUUGAAGUUUAGAACAUUUUUAUUGAACUUUAAACAGAUGCAGGCUACUUUAGACGGCCAUCUAAAGACUGCUUGCGAUAUGACGGAGGUAGGAGAGACAGCCAGUCGCGUCGAGAGCCUUAUAUCCGAGGCCAGCGAUUUCGAGAAAAUUUGUAACUGUGAUCUAGACACCGCUUCAGCAGUCAUUGAUGACGGUGAAACCUUAAUGCAAGAUCCUUUAAGCUCAGUAGAUCACAUAGAGUCGAAAUGCGAGGAACUGCGACGAACGAGCGCCCUGCUUAUCGAAAAAAUUCAAAAACGAAAUCUGCUUCUCGCUAAAGCGCGGGAACUUAUGGACAGGAUAGAUAAGGCGAACGAGUGGUGCGCGACGGGCGUCGAGAUACUCGCCGGUGAGGCGGGACUCAUCGCCGUCGACAAGCUGCUCGACGACGCGCAGGCGUUCGGCCUCACCGCGCCGGACCAGUUCCGCGACAUGCUCAUGCAAUCCGCCACCCAGGAGACCAGGGCUUUGGUCACGCAGGUGGCGCAGCGCGUGGAGGACGUGUGGCUGAUGGUGUCGGUGAAGCGCGCGUCACUGCAGCGCGCCGCCGCCCGCCCCGCGCGCCCCGUGCACGCCGUGCCGCCGCACAGCGCCGCCGCCACGCACCAGCAGAUGGAGACCUCUGGCGGCUCGGAAAGCUCGGGCGGAGAGGACGCGGAGGCGCGGCGGUCGCGGCGAGGGCAUGUCCUGGCUGAACUGCUGCAGACAGAACGAGUCUACGUGCAGGAACUGGGCUCUAUACUUACCGGUUACAAAGAAGAGAUAGAGAAGCCAGAGAACCAGCACUUAUUGCCUCCGACGCUGGUGGGUCAAGCGGACGUGCUGUUUGGCAACUUGCACGAACUAUUCACGUUUCAUCAAGACAUAUUCCUCAAGGACCUGGAGCGGUCGAUAUCAGCCACUGAACUUGUUGCUUUAUGCUUUGUUGAAAAGAGAGAAACGUUCUUCAGACUGUACAGCUAUUACUGCCAGAACAUCCCUCGCUCUGAACGACUACGGGAGACGUUGGUGGACACACAUCUAUUCCUGCAGGCGUGUCAGUUGCGCCUCGGUCAUAAACUACCCCUCGCUGCCUACCUCCUUAAACCAGUGCAGAGGAUUACCAAGUACCAGCUGUUGUUAAAGGACCUCCUCCGCUACGGCGAGUGCGGGUCGAUGACGACGGGCCUGCAGCAGGCGCUGGACUGCAUGCUCGUCGUGCUCAAGUGCGUCAACGACUCCAUGCACCAGAUCGCCAUUACUGGGGUCCCUGUGGACCUAUCACAACAAGGCGAGCUGCUGAUGCAGGGCUCGUUCCUCGUGGUCUCGGAGAACAAGCGCGACCUGCGGCUGCGGAUACGGCCGCGUCGCCGGCACAUAUUCCUUUACGAGAAGGCGAUGCUCUUCUGCAAACCAGCCACCAAGAACAGCCACAACAAAGCCACCUAUCACUUCAAACACGACUUGUUGAUGUCACAAAUAGGUCUAACAGAGUCGGUGAAGGGCGACCAGCGCAAGUUCGAGGUGUGGCGGCAGGGCCGGGCGGAGGUGCACACGAUCACGGCGUCCACUGUCGAGGUGAAACGCGCCUGGGUCGAGCGCAUCAAGCGGGUCCUGCUCGACCAACUCAAGGAGCUGAAGGGAGAGAGGGUUCGGCAGUAUGGUGCGCAGCAUCACAGGACACUAAUUCAAACGAGUUCGUGGGAGCUGGGCCCGGGCGGCCCCCCGCGGCCGCAGCCGCCGCCCGCCAACCCGGCGCGCACCGCCUCGUGCGACACGCACGACGAGCCGUGCUGGUCCACCGACCCCUCCGACGACGACGACGACGAGCCCGAGCACGCGCCGGUGACGGAGGCCGUCGGUCUCAACGGUACCAUACACAGAAUGGUACAGUUCUUUUCGGUAUCGGGCUCUGCGCAAGCCACGUCCACGUUUUACGUGUCUCAGUACUGAAUGUAUUAUAACUAUACGAGCAUACGGCCAGUAGAGGCUUUGUACAUAAUGAAAGAGACUGAGUUUAUAUCCAAAGCUUAGUACGUAACCAAAGAGAACGUGGAUAUUUCGAUUGUAUUCGCUGAACAUUUACUAUCGUGCGGUGGGGUGCGCGCUGGUGGCGCUGUCGGACUACACCGCCGUGGGGCCCAGCGAGGUGUCGCUGCGGGAGGGACAGCACGCCGAGCUGCUUAAGGUGGGCUGCGCCGGCUGGUGGUACGUGCGGCUUGCAGCAGGUCACGGCGAGGGCUGGGCGCCGGCGGCGUACUUGGACCAGCGCAAGACGUCGCGGUCCUCCAGCCGCUCGCACGACCGACUGCACGACCACUGAACACAUCACUCGACACAUUGUCGAUGUCCAUCGGUUCUCACGUCUAGUGCGAGGUGUCCGGGGAGUAGCCCGACGCUCGCUACGCCGCGCCGAGCUCGCGACCCCGCGGUAGUGUUAGAUGUAUAUAUAGGUAGCGCAGCCUUCGACCCAAAGUAUGACAAUAGACAGUCCCGCAGCCAGUCGUGUCUCUUUUCAUAGUUGGUGUAAGAAUGUUUGAAGAGUAAAGUGCCUGAAUACGUUUUGUCCUCGGUGGUUUUGUUAGAUAUCGAUAGUCGCGAAUGUUUCAGAGAGCAUUAUAUUAGUUGUAAUCGGCACAUAACGAUCGACGCCCCGUCACCGCACUCGUUAACAUUUAUGUCGAAGUAAAGAUGUUUGUUAAUGUAUGUAAAUGUUGUUCUAAAAGCUUUAUUGUAAUUUAGUCGUAGCCAUAGUUGUGUUGACGUUACGAUUAUCCAAAGCUAUGUAUAGUGGCAUAGGACGUUGUUAAGUAUUCGUGACAGGUUACGUAUACCUUUUUGUAUAUAAUCUACGUAAUUAUUUUUAACUGUAGUUAUUUAUUUGGAUGCUAGACGAGCUUUCGGUGUUAAUUCGUGUUUUCGUCUCAAUUUUCCAUGACAUUUGUGAAUUGUAUAUUGUUUUAUCCGUACAGUUGGAAAUCUGUGUAUUUAUGUAAAACGUCACCCUGUAGAUGCUACAGGGUGAUCGGUUAGUUUUCAUAUCAUUUAUUAUUGUCAUAUCUCGACGUCAAGUGACCGUAGCUUCAUUAUGCGAUGCGUAUAGAAAUGUAAGAUGAAAUGAUGUAUUACAAAAUGUUAACUUUAAGUAAGUAUUACCUGCAUGAAAUAGCAAAGUAUUAGAAAAUGUUACUUUUUUAUGAGAACAAAUUAAAAGUAAUAAUUCAUUCGAGCCAUGCAUAUCAUUGAAAUUAUUUUUGCUGUAUUAUAUUGGUUAAUUUCGUUCGGGCGCAGAAACUGACCAUCAUUAUGUUUGACAUUAUUAUGAAUUUUAAAUUGAUUUUGUUAGUGUAAAACUACGUAUUCGAGCUGAUCACAAUUACACAGAUUUUAUCCAUC